CUGGCGGCAGGCUUAACACAUGCAAGUCGAACGGGCGUAGCAAUACGUCAGUGGCAGACGGGUGAGUAACGCGUGGGAACGUACCUUUUGGUUCGGAACAACACAGGGAAACUUGUGCUAAUACCGGAUAAGCCCUUACGGGGAAAGAUUUAUCGCCGAAAGAUCGGCCCGCGUCUGAUUAGCUAGUUGGUGAGGUAAUGGCUCACCAAGGCGACGAUCAGUANCUGGUCUGAGAGGAUGAUCAGCCACACUGGGACUGAGACACGGCCCAGACUCCUACGGGAGGCAGCAGGUGGGGAAUAUUGGACAAUGGGGGCAACCCUGAUCCAGCCAUGCCGCGUGAGUGAUGAAGGCCCUAGGGUUGUAAAGCUCUUUUGUGCGGGAAGAUAAUGACGGUACCGCAAGAAUAAGCCCCGGCUAACUUCGUG
rnacentral:rRNA from 1 species